AUACGUAGGGUGCGAGCGUUGUCCGGAAUUACUGGGCGUAAAGAGCUCGUAGGUGGUUUGUCGCGUCGUCUGUGAAAUUCCGGGGCUUAACUCCUGGCGUGCAGGCGAUACGGGCAUAACUUGAGUACUGUAGGGGAGACUGGAAUUCCUGGUGUAGCGGUGAAAUGCGCAGAUAUCAGGAGGAACACCGGUGGCGAAGGCGGGUCUCUGGGCAGUAACUGACGCUGAGGAGCGAAAGCAUGGGUAGCGAACAGGAUUAGAUACCCUGGUAGUCCAUGCCGUAAACGGUGGGCGCUAGGUGUAGGGGUCUUCCACGACUUCUGUGCCGUAGCUAACGCAUUAAGCGCCCCGCCUGGGGAGUACGGCCGCAAGGCUAAAACUCAAAUGAAUUGACGGGG
rnacentral:rRNA from 1 species